UGACUCUACUAUAAAAAAGUAAAAAAGAAAAAAAAAGAAACAGACAGUGGUUGGCUUGGUCAUAUUUUGGCCCCACGGACGGGAUUGUCUUCGUUGUCUUAACGACCGUGGCCAUCCGUAUGUGGCUUCCUGACCAUAAUAUCCCACUUCGAACCAUAUGGAUAGGUGAUUGCUUAUGAUGGGCUUUAUGAAGAAGUGCUUUCUGUUACUUGAAGUUGCCUUGUUGGAUCUAGUGACUGGUGAAGUGACACUGAAAACAUGGCUUUCAUAUUGUAUUGAUAUCAUCAAAUGUCAGGUUAGUGUGGGAAAUUUAUGGCAUGUCUUACUAUUUGGUUAGAUCAACACUCAAAUAUUUGAUGCUUUGUCUUGACAUCAAGUGUGCAACAUACCUUCUGGCACUGCAUGGCAAUGCAGAGCAUGUACCGUUCCAGCAAGUGGAAGCCGGCUGACACGAAAAGAAUUGAAGGAAUCUGCAAAUUUUUGGAUGGUGGUAGUGUUGUGUAAUGCUUCUGGCCUUGGGAUAUAGUAUAUUCUAUCUUCAUCCAACAGAUUGAUGCAAAAGCAUGCAUUUAGGUGUUCUUCGUGUAUAAUUUGUUUCAAGGUGACAACAAGUGCUUCAUGCAAAUUAUGAGGUGAAUAUGUUAUGAAAAAAAAUCAUAUUUCAUAUUACAGAUAUUGGUUCAGCAUAUACAAAAUGUAACACGUCUCCUAAAACUUGAGCUAUAGAGAUAUUGCAGAAAUUUAAAUCACAGUAGUGACUUACAGACAGUAUAAAACAUAGAUUCUCUUAUGCUGAUUAUCAGUGUUUUUUAAUUAGCAACAUAAUGUUGUUUGUUGUAAAUUCCUAAGCAUGUACUGAUUUGAACAAUUAAAACUUGUUGAUGGAACUUCGUGUCUCUAUCAUGCAUCAAUUAUAGGGGAAUAACAGCAGCAUCUAGCUGUUUAAUUGGAUCUAUCUUAAGUUAUUUGUUAUGAUUGAGUAAUAUAUGUUGUUAAUCAAUUUUGUGUUAAUUAAGAUGGAUAGAUAAUGGACUGGAGGAGGCCAUGAUAUAGCUCAUAUUUAAUUAUUCAGCAUUAUUUUGUAAUGAUCUUUUUAUCCUUAUUUGGAAUUUCCCAGCGGUAAAAUACAUUAAAAUACAUUAUCCUUAUUUGGUAAAAUAUGAUAUAGCUCAUAUUUGGAAUUUAAACUAUCUAAUUAAAUUUUGUAAUUAGUGACUUAGGAAAGUAAAUGUGCUGGAGCAUAAAGCUGAGUUCAUAUAAGAGGAAGCUAGGGCUCUAGGUGUAGUUCUUAUUGGAGUAGUAUUAGUAUAGUCUUCAUGGGCAUAAGUAAAUGAUGCUUUAGUCAUGCCACAGCAGAGAGCUCAUGGAGCAUAAAAUGAGUCAUGAAGUAGGGAGACAGUACUGAUAUAAAGCUAGAUCUAAUUUACAUCAUAUUGUUAAAUUUGUUGUUAUGAUCCAACUAGUGCGUAAGACACAGUUCAGAGAUAUGUAGAGAGAAUCAAAUAGAAUCUGUAUUCUGCAACAGUGAGGAGAUUGAAGGGGCCAAAUGUUCAAGAUAUGUGGAGUGAAGAUUGUUGAUAACUUAAGUAUUUAACAUAAGAGUCGUUGUGGUUGCUCGACGACAUGAUUCGGUAUUGCUCUCACGUUGUUCUCUGUUAGGCCCGUUCUGACACAAUAGAGAGGGCGGGGGAGAGGGAGAACGAGAGAGAGAAAAAAGAGAGGGAGAGGGGGAGGGAGGGAGAAGGAAAGAUUGGUGGAGGCCGGCGAAGCACGUCCUGAUA